ACUCCUACGGGAGGCAGCAGUGGGGAAUAUUGCACAAUGGGCGCAAGCCUGAUGCAGCCAUGCCGCGUGUGUGAAGAAGGCCUUCGGGUUGUAAAGCACUUUCAGUCGUGAGGAAGGUGAGUUAGUAGUUAUAGCUGCAUUUAUUGAUCGUUAGCGAACAGAAGAAGCGACCGCUAACUCCGUGCCAGCAGCCGCGGUAAUACGGAGGGUGCGAGCGUUAAUCGGAAUUACUGGGCGUAAAGCGCAUGCAGGUGGUUUGUUAAGUCAGAUGUGAAAGCCCGGGGCUCAACCUCGGAAUUGCAUUUGAAACUGGC
rnacentral:rRNA from 1 species